UUGAGAUUAUUAGUGUUUGUUUCCUCCAUCAUCAAUCAAUCACGUUUAGGGUUUCUGCGUUAUCAAUGAAUCGUUCUCUGCCUCUAAUUCGUUCCUCUAUGAAUCCGACUCUGAUCUUCGUCAUAAAGGUUAGAUUUUGUCAAUGAAUCAAGUAUCGUUCUUGAUAUUUUAGAUUUUAUAACUAAUAAUUUCUUUUGUUUUGUAUAUCUCAUCUGAAAUCCGACUUCACAUCAAUCUUCAAUCUUCAAUCUUCGACUCCCUCAUUCGCAUUCUCUCUGGAGAAACCCUAGCCGCCUCCUUCAGCUAGACCAUCGGUUCUCAUCUUCCUCUUCAAGGUUUCUGUCUUCCAUUCAUACAUCUUUCUCUCUUCUCCGGCUCUAAAGUUCACCCAUUAGGGUUGGCUUGAAGAUGGUGUUGAACAGGGCGAACUUUCCGAUUUUUCGAUGGUUUGACGUCUCAGCUGGACUCUAUUUUACUUCAACCAUAGCUGAAUUAAUUGCCGUGGAGAAAGACAACGCAUUCAUUGAGGGUUACAUGUCUUCAUCUAAAAUGAUAUACAGAUGGCGGUGGAGAAAGUCGAUAAUUUUUCUAGGGUUUACUUUGAUUCAUGGAGCACGACUGGAAGAGUUGUCUCACAAAAGCUGUAGAAAAAUCUCAGCCAUGAGAGUAUCAUCACAUGACAAAGUUCGAGCUUUGACAUGGCAUUGGAGGAGGGAACCAGUAAGUGAAAAUGAAUGUCGCGGACGAGAACAGUGCAAGGAGAUGCUACAGGAAUCACUGUAACUGAGAAUAGGGAAUAGUGGAAGUCUUCUUCAUCUGGGGAUUUAGUUUUCACAGUUGUUGAUUGGUUUGCUGUUAGAUAUGGUCGAGUGUGCUGAUUAGUUGAAGCGAUUACAUUAGUAUUCAAAGAAUGUAUAAAAUAUCAACAAAAAGAAUAGGUUAGUGGGGAGAUCAUGUCAUUUUACAAGUGGCUGCUGAUAGGGUUUCUUUUCCUCUUAUGUUAACUUCAGCCAAUGAUGUCAAUUGAUAGUGUUAUCAAGAGAACGGCCAACUGCUAAGUGGGAUGUUGGAUUCGCUUUCACCUGAGCAAGUAAUUCAGUGUCAACCAGAGGAUGGCCGCAUUGCCCUUUGUCGUCUUCAGUCGCCAACGAAAACCGCCCUGCUCGAUUGGGCCAUCAAUCUGAACGCUGAUGCUAUCUAACACGAGCAUCUCAAGAAGAUGAAUUCACACAAUAUUGCAAUGGUUUUCGCCCCAAAUGACUCAGGCCUCACCACGAGAAUCACAGUCCGAUGAAAAUAGUGGUCAAGGCCUGGACUCUAUCCACACGUGCAACAAAAUCUUGAUGAAAAUGAAGAGAGAGAACAAGAAUUCAUCCCUGAAGAUAAUCAUCUUUAAAAAUUAACUGCCACAGAAGGAUCUAAUGGACCCGGGUUGUGUAAUUGGCCUGUUCAAUCCCCACUCUUCCUGCCCAUUGUAUGUCGCGUACUUCGUUAGCGACUCAAGCACACCUUUGUCGCCGUUGAAGACAAAUCGAGAGUUCGCGCCAGAAAAAGAGCUAUGAGUUCCAUCAGUUUCAGGUUGUUGGUAGAGGUGUACCUACGGAGUCAGGUAAGCAACCAGAGAUUUAUUGUAUGAAGCUUUGGGCCACCUUUGAAGUUCGUGCUAAGAGCGAGUUUUGGUUAUUUAGAGUUACUUAUUUUUUGUAUUUCAGAUCCAGUGACACACGAUGGUAUAUCAAGUUUUAUGGUAUUAACCCUAAAAAAAUAUAGACAUCAUUGUUGUAGGCAUUUUGGGCUGUAAUCUGCUAGAAUAUGUAGGCAUCAUUUGUUAUGAUAUACAACACAUUGGAGUUUUUAUCGACUUGCAAGUUGGCGAACCUAAUAGUAAAGGCGGAGCUGGGGUGUUGCUUGCUUCACAGGAGCGGUAGACAGAUCAUCGAAGUCUGCAAUCUACAAUGUGAAUCCAACCCUUUCUAUCUCUCCUAUGUUAUUAUCACCACCGCUGGUGGCUGUGAGGCGGCUUUGUCAUCCAAUGCAUAGAAGAAUGGUGACAGUGUGUGUUUCUAAAACUCGAAUCAAAGGUGGCGCAAAAGCAGCUUUGACUAGCGAAUGUUAUCAAUAAUUUCUCUGCCUCAAACUGUAGUUUUUAUUAAUGAUUUAUUGCUAGAAAAAACAAAUUUUUUUUCUACUUUGGAAUGUCUAUAAUAGUAGUGGUGGUGUUUCUUUUUUCUUUUUUGUACUUCCUGAAGUAUAUUUGGAGAAACCUGAUGCUUAUAUAAUUGAUAUGCCUUAGUUGAAGUAGCUUAUAUAAAAAUUGGAGGAAAUUCGAAUAGUCUCUGGACACUUCAGCCUUGGGCAAACAAAUGGCUUGCUCUACCCCAUGAAAGCACGUAUGAGG